ACUGGCGCGAGCGCGUGGCUUUAUCUAUGGUUUUGUUUGCACGUCUCGCGCAAACAAAACCAUAGAUAAAGCCACGCGCUCGCGCCAGU
rnacentral:pre_miRNA from 1 species